rnacentral:lncRNA from 1 species
CUAGAGAGAGAAGCUCUGCCUUCUCUCUAGCUUCACCGCUCCAUCUUCCUUCUUUGCUACCUCUGUGUAUGUAGUUCACCUACACUGAGAUUGCCAUGGCGAGAGGAAGAGGAUAGCCCAAAAAAGUUCUGGUGCCCAUCUAUGCUAACAACACUAUUCCCCCAAAAUCUGUUAACACUGAGCUACAAUUGGGUAGUACUGUUUCAUGGAAACCCAUCGACGAUGUUGAUACUUUGCCCCAUGCAAACACAGAUCUGCAGUCAUCUGGAGCCCCCAUGCUUACAACAGCAGCUGCCAAGGUUGAUAAUGAC